GACGAACCGAGCGAACGUUGUUCGGAAUCACUGGGCUUAAAGGGCGCGUAGGCGGGCGGCCGCGUCCGGGGUGAAAUCCCACGGCUCAACCGUGGAACGGCCCCGGGUACGGGCCGCCUGGAGGGGGGUAGGGGCGUGCGGAACUGUGCGUGGAGCGGUGAAAUGCGUUGAUAUGCACAGGAACUCCGGUGGCGAAGGCGGCACGCUGGGCCCUCCCUGACGCUGAGGCGCGAAAGCCAGGGGAGCGAACGGG
rnacentral:rRNA from 1 species